CGGAUUUGAUGGGAACAACAGCCAGAGACGGUCCCUCCCUGACCCCCCCCUCCCAGCCCCCAAAAAAUCCCUGCUUGAUGCUGACCAAAGCUGAAAGCACGGCUGGAGGGAGCUGAAACAAGACGCUGAGUCAUUAAUUUUCCUGAACUCCGGAGAAGUUUGGAAUUACAUCAUCAUUUAAGAGCUCUCUGGGAUGACAUCCAAAGGUUCUUGGCAUGGCGCUGGAAAUGCAGGAGCAUCCCAGGGAAAUAUGGGAACACCUUUCCCUUCUUGGGACCGAGCAAACACCUGCAGGGAAAAACCUCCACCACUUUGAGGGAAUGCCAGGAUUUUCAGGAAGAGCAGAGCAGUGCGGCAUUCCAAAAGGAGCCAAAAUAUCCUGGAAAAGCUCUGCUCUUAUCUCUCGGCCGUCUGGAUUUGGGCAACAUUUUCCAUGA
rnacentral:lncRNA from 1 species